CUGCCUUUUGGAGUUUUUGUUAGGAAUGGAUGCUGAAUUUUAUCUUAGCACACUUGAGAUUCCCUAAGAUGCCUGCUUACCACUCUCCUGGACUCCAGAUCAAUGCAGCCAACUGCCUACUCAAUAUUUCCAUGUGAAUGACAGUGAAUUGUGACCAGAAGCUUGCACAAAUCCAGAGGGAUCCUAGAUUUGGAGAUAAAGUCAUGCUUCCUUGAAGCACGUAGGAGAUGGAAGGGUGCCACAGCAACAUUGAAAUUCUUAAGCAGGGAAGAAGGAGGUGAUUUUAAAUAUUUUGCUAAAAUUUUUUAAAAGGUAAAAUAUAGAAGAAAACUUUGAGAAAAUGCAAUUGAAUCUAAAAGUAAAUUAU